GCCGAAGUGGUGGAAUGGUAGACACGCCGUCUUGAGGGGGCGGUGGGGUUACACCCGUGGGGGUUCGAGUCCCCCCUUCGGCA
rnacentral:tRNA from 1 species